GAAAAAGUGGCAUCCCGCCUCGCUGCUCAGUCCUGGCGGCCCCCGCACACCCCACUCAGGCGGACGACCGCCACAGUGCGUAAAAGUGGGAGUCCGCCACGCUGCUCAGACCUAUGGCUACGCCCCCCACUCAGGCGGCCGACCACCAGAGUGCGUAAAAGUGGCAGACCACUGCGCUGCUCAACCCAGGGGGCCUUCCACCCCACUCAAGCGCCCGACCGCCAGAGUGGGACAUAGUGGCAGCCCGCCGCGCUGCUCAGCCCUGGGGUCCCUCACGCCACUCAGGCGGCCGACCAAAAGAGUGGGUUAAAGUGGCAGCCCGCCGCGCUGCUCAGCCCUGGGGGCCCCACCUUGACUCAGGCGGCAGACCGCCAUAGUGGGUCAAAGGGGCAGCCCGAUGCGCUGCUCAGCCCUGGGGGCGCCCCACACACUCUGGUGUCCGACCGCCAGAGUGGCCCAAAUUGGCAGCCCGCAGCGCUGCUCAGCCCUGGGGUCCCUCACCCCACUCAGGCGGCCGACAGACAGAGUGGGUCAUAGUGGCAGCCCGCCGCGCAGCUCAGCCCUGGGGGUCCAACCCUGACUCAGGCGGCAGACCACCACAAUGGUGAAAGUGGCAGCCCGCUGCGCUGCCCAGCCCGGGCGGGCCCCCCUCUACUCAGGCGGCCGACAGCCAGACUGGGUCAAAGUGGCAGCCCGCCAUGCUGCUCACCCCUGGCGGCCACCGCCAACUCAGGUGGCCCACCGCCAGAGUGGGUCAAACUGGCAGCCUGCCGCGCUGCUCAGCACUGGGGGCCCCACUCCCACUCAGGCGGCCGACCGCCCGAGUGGGUUAAAGUCGCAGCCCGCAGCGCUGCUCAGCCCUGGGGGCGCCCCACGUAGUCUGGCGACCGAUCGCCACAGUGGCUCAUAGUGGCAGCCCACCGCGCUGCUCAGCCCUGGGGUCCCCGCCCCCCACUAAGGCGGCCGACCGCCAGAGUGGCUCAAAGUGGCAGCCUGCCGCGCAGCUCAGUCCGGGCGGGCCCCCCCUCUACUCAGGCGGCCGACAGACAGACUGGGUCAAAUUGGCAGCCCGCCGCACUGCUCAGCCCUGGAGGCCCCCCCACCCCCACUCAGGCUGCCGACCACCAGAGUGGGUCAAAGUGGCAGCCCGCCGCGCUGCUCAGCCCUGGGGGCCCUUCCAACCCACUCAGGCGGCCGACCGAUAGAGUGGGAAAAAGUGGCAGCCUGUCGCGCUGCUCAGCCCUGGGGGGCCUCCACACCCACUCAGGCGAUGGACGGCCAGAGUGGGUCAAAGUGGCAGCCCGCCGCGCUGCUCAGCCAUGGGGGCCCUCCCUCACCACUCAGGCGGCCGAGGGACAGAGUGGUUCAAAGUGGCAGCCCACCACACUGCUCAGCCCUGGGGGCCCUCCCCACCCACUCAUGCUGCCGACCGUCAGAGUGGGUCAAAGUGGCAGCCCACCACACUGCUCUGCCCCUGGGGCCCUCCCCCACACUCGGGUGCCCAAACAGCAGAGUGGGUCAAAGCGGCAGCCCACCGCGCUGCUCAGCCCUGGCGGCCCUCCCCCUCCACUCAGGCGGCCGACCGCCAGAGUGGGUCAAAGUGGCAGCCCGCCGCGCAGCUCAGUCCGGGCGGGCCCCCCUCUACUCAGGCGGCCGACAGAAAGACUGGGUCAAAUUGGCAGCCCGCCGCACUGCUCAGCCCUGGAGGCCCCCCCCUCCCCACUCUGGCUGCCGACCACCAGAGUGGGUCAAUGUGGCAGCCCGCCGCGCAGCUCAGCCCUGGCUGCCCCACCCUGACUGAGGUGGCAGACCGCCAUAGUGGGUCAAAGGGGCAGCCCGCCACGCUGCUCAGCCCUGGGGGACCUCUCCACACUCAGGCGGCCGACCGCCAGAGUGGGUCAAAGUGGCAGCCCGCCGCGCAGCUCAGCCCUGGCUGCCCCACCCUGACUGAGGUGGCAGACCGCCAUAGUGGGUCAAAGUGGCAGCCCGCCGCGCAGCUCAGUCCGGGCGGGCCCCCCUCUACUCAGGCGGCCGACAGACAGACUGGGUCCAAUUGGCAGCCCGCCGCACUGCUCAGCCCUGGAAGCGCCCCCCCCACCCCCCGACUCAGGCUGCCGACCACCAGAGUGGGAAAAAGUGGCAGCCCGCCGCGCUGCUCAGCCCUGGGGGCGCCCCACCUAGUCUGGCUGCCGAUCGCCAGUGUGGGUCAAAGUGGCAGCCCGCCGCGCAGCUCAGCCCAGGGGACACAACCUGACUCAGGUUGCAGACCGCCAGAGUGGGUCAAAGUGGCAGCCCGCCGCGCUGCUCAGCCCUGGUGGCCACACCCCACUCAGGCGGCCCACCGCCAGAGUGGGUCAAAGUGUCAGCCCACCGUGCUGCUCAGCCCUGGGAUCCCUCACCCCACUCAGGCGGCCCACCGCCAGAGUGGGUCAAAGUGUUAGCACGCAUUGCUGCUCAGCCCCUGGGGACCUCCCCCACACUCAGGUGCCCAACCAGCAGAGUGGGACAAAGUGGCAGCCCACAGCGCUGCUCAGCCCUGGGGGCCCUCCCCCCACUCAGGCGGCCGACCGCCAGAGUGGGUCAAAGUGGCAGCCCGCCGGGCUGCUCAGCCCUGGGGGCCCUCUCCCCACUCAGGAGUCUGACCGCCAGAGUGGGUCAAAGUGGCAGCCCCACCCCCACUCAGGCGGCCGACAGCCAGAGAGGGUCAAAGAGGGAGCCCGCCGCGCUGCUCAGCCCCCCCAACAGUCAGGCGGGCGACGGCCAGAGUGGGUCAAAGUGGCAGUCCGCCACGAUGCUCAUCCCUGGGGGCCCUUUCCCCACCCAAGCGGCCGACCGCCAGAGUGGGUCUAAGUGGCAGCCCGCUGCGCUGCUCAGCCCUGGGGCCCCUCCCUCCCACUAAGGCGCCCCACCGCCAGAGUGGGUCAGAGUGGCAGCCCGCCGCGCUGCUCAGCCCUGGGGGCCCCACCCCCACUCAGGCGGCAAUCCGCCAGAGUGGGUCAAAGUGGCAGCCCUCCGAGGUGCUGAGCAUUGGCGGGCCCGACCCCCACUCAAGCGGCCCAUAGACAGAGUGGGAAAAAGUGGCAGCCCGCCGCGCUGCUCACCCCUGGCGGCCACCGCCAACUCAGGUGGCCCACCGCCAGAGUGGUCAAACUGGCAGCCUGCCGCGCUGCUCAGCACUGGGGACCCCACUCCCACUCAGGCGGCCGACCGCCCGAGUGGGUCAAAGUCGCAGCCCGCAGCACUGCUCAGCCCUGGGGGCGCCCCACGUAGUCUGGCGGCCGAUCGCCACAGUGGCUCAUAGUGGCAGCCCACCACGCAGCUCAGCCCUGGGGGUCCCACGCCCACUCAGGCGGCCGACCGCCAGAGUGGGUCAAAGUGGCAGCCCGCCGCGCAGCUCAGUCCGGGCGGGCCCCCCUCUACUCAGGCGGCCGACAGAAAGACUGGGUCAAAUUGGCAGCCCACCGCACUGCUCAGCCCUGGAGGCCCCCCCCC
ensembl:lncRNA